rnacentral:rRNA from 1 species
GCAUAUUCAAUAAGCGGAGGAAAAGAAACUAACAAGGAUUCCCCUAGUAACGGCGAGUGGAGAGGGAAGAGCCCAAGAUUGAAAGCUGGCGUCUUCGGCGUCCGCAUUGUAAUCUCAAGAAGUGUUUUCCGCUUCGGACCAAGCCUAAGUCCCCUGGAAAGGGGCAUCAUAGAGGGUGAUAAUCCCGUACAUGGCUUGGAGCGCCCGAGGCUUUGUGAUACGCUUUCUAAGAGUCGAGUUGUUUGGGAAUGCAGCUCAAAAUGGGUGGUAAAUGCCAUCUAAGGCUAAAUAUUGGGGAGAGACCGAUAGCGAACAAGUACAGUGAUGGAAAGAUGAAAAGAACUUUGAAAAGAGAGUUAAACAGUACGUGAAAUUGCCAAAAGGGAAGGGUAGGAGGUCAGAGAUGCGGCCUGGGAUUCAGCCUUGCUUUUGCUUGGUGUUUUUCCCAGAUUGCAGGCCAACGUCGGUUUUGGGCACUGGAGAAGGGUAGGAGGAACGUGGCACCUCUCGGGGUGUGUUAUAGCCUCCUACUGGAUACAGCGACCGAGACCGAGGACAGCAGCGUACUCGCAAGAGCGGGCCUUCGGGCACCUUUACGCUUAGGGCGUUGGCAUAAUGGCCCUCUACCACCCGUCUUGAAACACGGACCA